rnacentral:rRNA from 1 species
AUUGAACGCUGGCGGCAUGCCUUACACAUGCAAGUCGAACGGCAGCAUGGAGAGCUCGCUCUCUGAUGGCGAGUGGCGAACGGGUGAGUAAUGCAUCGGAACGUACCGUGUAAUGGGGGAUAACGUAGCGAAAGUUACGCUAAUACCGCAUACGACCUGAGGGUGAAAGCAGGGGAUCGCAAGACCUUGCGUUAUACGAGCGGCCGAUGUCAGAUUAGCUAGUUGGUGAGGUAAAGGCUCACCAAGGCGACGAUCUGUAGCGGGUCUGAGAGGAUGAUCCGCCACACUGGGACUGAGACACGGCCCAGACUCCUACGGGAGGCAGCAGUGGGGAAUUUUGGACAAUGGGGGCAACCCUGAUCCAGCCAUGCCGCGUGAGUGAAGAAGGCCUUCGGGUUGUAAAGCUCUUUCGGCCGGGAAGAAAUCGCACGGGCUAAUACUCUGUGUGGAUGACGGUACCGGCAUAAGAAGCACCGGCUAACUACGUGCCAGCAGCCGCCGUAA